GGGCCCGAACGUCAGCGUCAAGUCCUGGUUCGCUGGUCGGUGACCCUCGUUCACGGUCGGGUGUUCCAGAUGAGAGCCCCGCGCGACGAACCAGUCGCGCGGGCGGGUGUC
rnacentral:ncRNA from 2 species